rnacentral:rRNA from 1 species
CUACGGGUUGCUGCAGUGGGGAAUAUUGGACAAUGGGGGAAACCCUGAUCCAGCAAUGCCGCGUGUGUGAAGAAGGCCUGCGGGUUGUAAAGCACUUUCGGUUGGGAGGACUGCUUCUAGCACUAAUAUUGUUGGAAGUUGACGUUACCUUCAGAAGAAGCACCGGCUAACUCCGUGCCAGCAGCCGCGGUAAUACGGAGGGUGCAUGCGUUAAUCGGAAUUACUGGGCGUAAAGCGCGCGUAGGCGGCUAGAUCAGUCGGGUGUGAAAGCCCCGGGCUUAACCUGGGAACUGCAUCCGAUACUGUCUAGAUUGAGUACAGGAGAGGAGAGUGGAAUUCCACAUGUAGCGGUGAAAUGCGUAGAUAUGUGGAGGAACACCAAUGGCGAAGGCAGCUCUCUGGCCUGAUACUGACGCUGAGGUGCGAAAGCGUGGGGAGCAAACAGGAUUAGAUACCCGGGUAGUC